UAGGGAAUAUUGCUCAAUGGGGGAAACCCGUGAAGCAGCAACGCCGCGUGGAGGAUGAAGGUUUUCGGAUUGUAAACUCCUUUUGUUAGAGAAGAUAAUGACGGUAUCUAACGAAUAAGCACCGGCUAACUCCGUGCC
rnacentral:rRNA from 1 species